GCCGGCGGGCUCCUACUCCUUUUCGUCGUAGGUGGUGGAGGAGGAGGGGAUCUCGCUCCGUCUCUCUCUAGUCUCGUCGCGCUCGAGGGGCAGGGGAGGAGGAGGUGGCAUGCCGGAGGCGGACGCGCUGGCCGCGGCGGAGGUGGUGUCGCCGCGAUCCGGCUACUUCCGGCAGCGGAGCAUGCACGCCCCGGAUCCGGACCGCAAGGCGUUCGACGUAGAGAACCCGCCGGGGGCCUCCGUGGGGGCCGCGGCCGGAACCGGAGCCGGUGGCCUGGGGCUCCGGCCCAGCGAGUCCGUCGCCAAGCUGGAGUCGCUGGAGCGGGCGGAGCGCGCCGCCCUGGCGCCCGCGGUCGUGCUCAAGACGGGGUUCUACAUCCUCGUCUGGUACACCUUCAGCACCUGCCUCACCCUAUACAAUAAGUCGCUGCUGGGGGACAAGCUGGGCAAGUUCCCGGCGCCGCUGCUGAUGAACACUGUGCACUUCGCGCUGCAGGCCGCGCUCUCCAAGAUCAUCCUGCUCUUCCAGGCCAAGGGGAUCGACAGCGCCGUCGAGAUGAGCUGGAAGGAUUACUUCAUGAGAGUCGUCCCGACCGCUCUGGGAACCGCGCUCGACAUCAACCUGAGCAACGCGUCUCUGGUGUUCAUCACGGUCACGUUCGCCACUAUGUGUAAAUCGGCGUCGCCAAUAUUCCUUUUGCUAUUCGCUUUUGCAUUUCGGUUGGAGAGCCCCAGCAUCAAGCUUCUAGGAAUCAUAGUUGUCAUUUCCAUUGGAGUUCUGUUGACAGUUGCCAGGGAAACUGCGUUUGACUUCUGGGGCUUCAUUUUUGUGACGCUUGCUGCUGUUAUGUCAGGAUUCCGCUGGUCCAUGACUCAGAUUCUAUUGCAAAAAGAUAGUUACGGCCUGAAAGAUCCAAUCACCCUGAUGAGUCAUGUUACUCCAGUGAUGGCCAUAGCCACCAUGGUACUAUCUCUCCUGUUGGAUCCUUGGAGUGAUUUUCGAAAGAACACGUACUUCGAUAACCCAUGGCACGUCAUGCGCAGUUUCUUACUUAUGCUAAUCGGAGGGAGCUUGGCUUUUUUCAUGGUGUUAACGGAGUAUAUACUUGUUUCAGCAACAAGUGCUAUAACUGUGACAAUAGCUGGGGUAGUAAAGGAAGCUGUAACCAUCUUGGUCGCAGUAUUUUAUUUCCAUGAUGAAUUUACUUGGUUGAAAGGGGUUGGUCUUACCACUAUUAUGGUUGGUGUUAGCUUAUUCAACUGGUACAAGUAUGAGAAAUUCAAGAAGGGUCAGAUAAAUGAGGAUGGACUCGAUUCACCUUCAUUUAGUGGGGAUGCCAAAUACAUUAUUCUAGAUGACCUGGAAGAUGAGGAUGGGUUUCUGGAUGAAGAUACAUAAUUUUGGAAUAUGGCAACAUUUUAACUGCCACUUGAAGAAUAUGACAGUCAUUUCCGUGGCAAGAAUUGCUGCAGCUAGGCUUUUAAUGUGACUUCAGUAUCAUUCCUGACAUAUCACAAUAAUGUUUGUUAAGAUUAUUCAGGAUUGUUGAUGCCUUUAGACCAUUGAUGGCUGCCUGUUGAAAUAAUACUCAUGGAGGUUUUCCACAGAGACAUACGGACAAACACACAAGCAAUCUGCGUGAGCUUAAUCCAUCUCGCGUGGAGGUUUAAUGCCCGAUUCUCAUUGUUGACUGAAUAGCCACCUGAACUACAGUAUCAUACUACGAGCUAACUUCACUGGAAAAUUGUGAGGAUCGGCAGGUGGUACAGAUCGGCCUGCUUGUUCAUAAUGGAAGUCGCUGAAAACCUACUGACAUUUGCGUGUUUUUUUUUUCUUUCUCUUUGUGUGAGCGCAAACAUGCACAUAUUCAUUAUAAAACCUCCACAUUUUUGGUGCCUAGGCAUAUUCAUCCGCUGUGUAGAUCAAACUGUAAGAGUGACCACACAUAGCCCACAUGUGCUGCUCCCUUGAAAGUUUAGGGACAGCCAUUGAUUAUUUGUAAUCUGUAAAACUGUGAGUGAAAAGGAUUGUUCUUCUCUA